GACGGAGGAUGCAAGUGUUAUCCGGAAUCACUGGGCGUAAAGCGUUUGUAGGUGGUCAAAUAAGUCAACUGUUAAAUCUUGAGGCUCAACCUCAAAAUCGCAGUCGAAACUAUUAGACUAGAGUAUAGUAGGGGUAAAGGGAAUUUCCAGUGGAGCGGUGAAAUGCGUAGAGAUUGGAAAGAACACCGAUGGCGAAGGCACUUUACUGGGCUAUUACUAACACUCAGAGACGAAAGCUAGGGUAGCAAAUGGG
rnacentral:rRNA from 1 species